AAAGUCUACAUGGGCAGCGGGCAGGCCUGCCCUGAUUAUCGCCUUCCUCGUUCAACUCGAAGUCCUAUAAUGUCCCAAGCUGCAAAUCGAACGGUGGAAUCACUCUCUCUUUGGUGAAAUCAUUCUCUCUCGCGUUCUCAGUCCCCCAGGGUUCAUGCUUCGUGAUCAAGGCUUUUCAAGCCUUCCUCACCGGGAAGUGGACCUUCAAUUGAUCGCGAACCUUUUGGUGGGUUCAGUGGAGAGCUCUUAAGUGCUUCCAAGGCGACACAGCUUGCUGCCACGACAGUCAGCUUUGUUUGCUGUGAGUGGAAGAUUCUGCAAAAGUUUGUUGAUGAUCGUAUAUGGGGCUCUGUGAAAGUCAGUCAGCCAGUCUCUCCCUCUCGGAAAGUUUCUUCAUUUAAGCAAAGCGCGAUAUCUUGUAGAAGAAGACUCAAGUGCACAGCGUAUUCAGCGUUCUUGGGGGGAAAUUUCUCUUCUUUUAUCGGGAGUUCUUUUUGGGCCUCAUAAAGGUUCUCUCAUCUUCAAGAAUCAAAUACUUAGCGGAGUAGGUUCUGUUCUUGCCCAAUGGCAUCAAAGGGCAGCAGAAGAGCGAGGACAAGAAGAUCAACCACAAAACCGAGAAGGACCCAUUGCGAGAAAAGGUCUCUGCAAGUGAAGAAUCAAGAAAGUUCCACUUCGUCAUCCUCUACAAUCUGCUCUGACAGUUCUCCCAAGGUCAGCAAUACAACAAGCGACUCAGAAUUGGGAGGUGAAAAAAUCUCCGGAACCAACUGCUCCACUCCGAAAGCGCAGAGAUUCCGGAUACCGAAGAUCGAGACGUGCCCACCUGCGCCGAAGAAGCAGAGAGUAAUGUCAAGCUGCCGCCUACGGAGGAGGCCGAUCGCAUUCUUCGCUCCGCCAGACAUAGAGCUCUUCUUCUUCUUCGCGCUUCGCGGUAUUUCGGUUUGAAGCUUGUGAGUGUGUGUGCCCCCAUGUAAAGCAAAAAAAUGACCAUGUCUUAUUGGUUUUUUGGUCAUCUUUAUGAACCACUUUUAGGUAGGUGUUUGAAGGUUAUAGUAGUGUGAUGACACUGUGUGAGAAUUUGAAGAUUCUGAGCAAUAGGGUUAGGGACCUUUUAAGCUCUCUCGAUUUGCUUGCUUUCCCUCCCGGGGCCAAUUGCUAAUUCUGGCCUUCAACUCUGUAGGGAAUGACUAAUCAAAACAUUCGGAUUCAGCUGGGAGGUCCAGCUGAAAUUCGGUGUUACUGCAAAACUUCUUUUUUUUUUUUUUUUUUUUUUUUUUCUUGGGCUAAUGUUAUCUCUGACCUUUCGAGAUUGAAGAAAGUGCAAUUUGUAGUGGGUGGUUAGGGAGGCUGAGUGAGUGUGAUGUUAGUGUUGUAAUCUUCCUUGAUUGUCAAAAGUUGAUCUGAUAAAGUAAAAGAAAAGGCUUUUCUUUCCUUA